rnacentral:tRNA from 1 species
GAGGGUACGGCUCAGUGGUAGAGCACGUGCUUAGCAUGCAUGAGGUCCUGGGUUCAAGCCCCAGUAUCUCCA